GAGGGUGUAGCUCAGUGGUAGAGCACAUGCUUAGCAUACACGAAGUUCUGGGUUCAAUCCUAGUGACUCCA
rnacentral:tRNA from 1 species